rnacentral:misc_RNA from 1 species
GCCAUGGUUGGCAUGUUCCAUAGAGGUGUUCAGUGUGAUGGUUGUGGGGUUCAUCCUAUUACUGGACCUCGGUACAAGUCUAAAGUAAGGGGGGAUUAUGAUCUCUGCAGCAUCUGCUUUGCAAAAAUGGGUAAUGAAGCUGAUUACAUCAAGAUGGACAGGCCAGUGUUUUAUCGACAUCCACGGUCAUGCAAGGGGUUACGUGAUCUUAAGGCACAGAAGUUCUGGGUUGCCCCCCCACCUCUAUCACGUGUCAUGAAACAUUGUGGAAUAAAGCCAGUUCGAGCUAAUAAGCUGGACAGCCGCUUUAUUUUGGAUGUAACUGUGGUGGAUGGUACGAUGAUGGCUCCAUCCACUCCUUUUACCAAAAUUUGGCGGCUGCGCAAUAGUGGCAGCAUUGUGUGGCCUAAGGGAGCACGACUUGUGUGGAUUGGGGGAGACAGAUUCAGCCAUGCGGAUUCUGCUGAGUUGGAGAUUCCUGCAGAUGGUGUGCCUGUAGAUGGGGAACUUGACAUUGCAGUUGAUUUUACUUCUCCUGAAUUACCUGGUCGAUAUAUUUCAUACUGGAGGAUGGCAUCCCCAUCAGGCACAAAAUUUGG